rnacentral:rRNA from 1 species
UACGUAGGAGGCAAGCGUUGUCCGGAAUUACUGGGUGUAAAGCGCGUGUAGGCGGCAGGCCAAGUCUGUGGUGAAAUCGCUCGGCUCAACUGGGCGGGGUCCAUGGAAACUGGUCAGCUGGAGGACGGUAGAGGUGAGUGGAAUUCCCGGUGUAGUGGUGAAAUGUGUAGAGAUCGGGAGGAACACCGGUGGCGAAGGCGGGGUCUCUGGGCAUCUCCUGACGCUGAGGCGCGAAAGCGAUGGGGAGCAAACGGGG